AUUGAACGCUGGCGGCAUGCCUUACACAUGCAAGUCGAACGGUAACAGGUUAAGCUGACGAGUGGCGAACGGGUGAGUAAUGUAUCGGAACGUGCCCAGUCGUGGGGGAUAACUGCUCGAAAGAGCAGCUAAUACCGCAUACGACCUGAGGGUGAAAGCGGGGGAUCGCAAGACCUCGCGCGAUUGGAGCGGCCGAUAUCAGAUUAGGUAGUUGGUGAGGUAAAGGCUCACCAAGCCGACGAUCUGUAGCUGGUCUGAGAGGACGACCAGCCACACUGGGACUGAGACACGGCCCAGACUCCUACGGGAGGCAGCAGUGGGGAAUUUUGGACAAUGGGCGCAAGCCUGAUCCAGCCAUGCCGCGUGCGGGAAGAGGGCCUUCGGGUUGUAAACCGCUUUUGUCAGGGAAGAAAAGGUUCUGGCUAAUACCUGGGACUCAUGACGGUACCUGAAGAAUAAGCACCGGCUAACUACGUG
rnacentral:rRNA from 1 species